rnacentral:rRNA from 1 species
ACGGGUGAGUAACACGUAAAGAACCUGCCUCAUAGACUGGGACAACUAUUGGAAACGAUAGCUAAUACUGGAUAACAGCAUUAACUGCAUGGUUGAUGUUUAAAAGUUGGUUUUGCUAACACUAUGAGAUGGCUUUGCGGUGCAUUAGCUAGUUGGUGGGGUAAAGGCCUACCAAGGCGACGAUGCAUAGCCGACCUGAGAGGGUGAUCGGCCACACUGGGACUGAGACACGGCCCAGACUCCUACGGGAGGCAGCAGUGGGGAAUAUUGCGCAAUGGGGGCAACCCUGACGCAGCCAUGCCGCGUGAAUGAAGAAGGCCUUCGGGUUGUAAAGUUCUUUCGGUAGCGAGGAAGGCAUUUAGUUUAAUAGACUAGGUGAUUGACGUUAACUACAGAAGAAGCACCGGCUAACUCCGUGCCAGCAGCCGCGGUAAUACGGAGGGUGCGAGCGUUAAUCGGAAUAACCGGGGCGUAAAGGGCACGCAGGCGGUGACUUAAGUGAGGUGUGAAAGCCCCGGGCUUAACCUGGGAAUUGCAUUUUCAUACUGGGUCGCUAGAGUACUUUAGGGGAGGGGUAGAAUUCCACGUGUAGCGGUGAAAAUGCGUAGAGAUGUGGAGGAAUACCGAAGGGCGAAGGCGGCCCCUGGGGAAUGUACUGACGCUC